rnacentral:rRNA from 1 species
GAUGAACGCUGGCGGCGUGCUUAACACAUGCAAGUCGAACGGAAAGGCCCAAGCUUGCUUGGGUACUCGAGUGGCGAACGGGUGAGUAACACGUGGGUGAUCUGCCCUGCACUUCGGGAUAAGCCUGGGAAACUGGGUCUAAUACCGGAUAGGACGAUGGUUUGGAUGCCAUUGUGGAAAGUUUUUUCGGUGUGGGAUGAGCUCGCGGCCUAUCAGCUUGUUGGUGGGGUAAUGGCCUACCAAGGCGUCGACGGGUAGCCGGCCUGAGAGGGUGUACGGCCACAUUGGGACUGAGAUACGGCCCAGACUCCUACGGGAGGCAGCAGUGGGGAAUAUUGCACAAUGGGCGCAAGCCUGAUGCAGAGACGCCGCGUGGGGGAUGACGGCCUUCGGGUUGUAAACUCCUGUCGCUAGGGACGAAGCGUUUUUGUGACGGUACCUGGAGAAGAAGCACCGGCUAACUACGUG